GCUGGGGGAUUAGUGGCGAACGGGUGAGUAACACGUGAGUAACCUGCCCUUGACUCUGGGAUAAGCCUGGGAAACUGGGUCUAAUACCGGAUACGACCAUUCCACGCAUGUGGUGGUGGUGGAAAGCUUUUGUGGUUUUGGAUGGACUCGCGGCCUAUCAGCUUGUUGGUGGGGUAAUGGCCUACCAAGGCGACGACGGGUAGCCGGCCUGAGAGGGUGACCGGCCACACUGGGACUGAGACACGGCCCAGACUCCUACGGGAGGCAGCAGUGGGGAAUAUUGCACAAUGGGCGCAAGCCUGAUGCAGCGACGCCGCGUGAGGGAUGACGGCCUUCGGGUUGUAAACCUCUUUCAGUAGGGAAGAAGCGUAAGUGACGGUACCUGCAGAAGAAGCGCCGGCUAACUACGUGCCAGCAGCCGCGGUAAUACGUAGGGCGCAAGCGUUAUCCGGAAUUAUUGGGCGUAAAGAGCUCGUAGGCGGUUUGUCGCGUCUGCUGUGAAAGACCGGGGCUCAACUCCGGUUCUGCAGUGGGUACGGGCAGACUAGAGUGCAGUAGGGGAGACUGGAAUUCCUGGUGUAGCGGUGAAAUGCGCAGAUAUCAGGAGGAACACCGAUGGCGAAGGCAGGUCUCUGGGCUGUAACUGACGCUGAGGAGCGAAAGC
rnacentral:rRNA from 4 species